rnacentral:rRNA from 1 species
AUGUCGGCGACCGGCGCACGGGUGAGUAACGCGUAUCCAACCUGCCCAUAACUAAGGGAUAACCCAGCGAAAGUUGGACUAAUACCUUAUGUAUUCGUUUGAUCUUAUGAGAUUACGAAUAAAGAUUUAUCGGUUAUGGAUGGGGAUGCGUCUGAUUAGCUUGUUGGCGGGGUAACGGCCCACCAAGGCAACGAUCAGUAGGGGGUUCUGAGAGGAAGGUCCCCCACAUUGGAACUGAGACACGGUCCAAACUCCUACGGGAGGCAGCAGCC